rnacentral:rRNA from 1 species
UACGUAGGGGGCGAGCGUUGUCCGGAAUCAUUGGGCGUAAAGCGCGUGUAGGCGGCUCGGUAAGUCCGGUGUGAAACCUUGGGGCUCAACCCCAAGCCUGCACUGGAUACUGUCGAGCUCGAGUUCGGUAGGGGAGACUGGAAUUCCUGGUGUAGCGGUGAAAUGCGCAGAUAUCAGGAGGAACACCGGUGGCGAAGGCGGGUCUCUGGGCCGAUACUGACGCUGAGGAGCGAAAGCGUGGGGAGCGAACAGG